UGGGAAUAUUGCACAAUGGGCGAAAGCCUGAUGCAGCAACGCCGCGUGAGUGAUGAAGGCCUUCGGGUUGUAAAGCUCUGUCUUUUGGGACGAUAAUGACGGUACCAAAGGAGGAAGCCACGGCUAACUACGUGCCAGCAGCCGCGGUAAUACGUAGGUGGCAAGCGUUGUCCGGAUUUACUGGGCGUAAAGGGUGCGUAGGCGGAUUUUUAAGUGAGAUGUGAAAACCCUAAGCUUAACUUGGGGGACUGCAUUUUCAUACUGGAAAUCUAGAGUGCGGGAGAGGAGAAUGGAAUUCCUAGUGUAGCGGUGAAAUGCGUAGAGAUUAGGAAGAACACCAGUGGCGAAGGCGAUUCUCUGGACCGUAACUGACGCUGAGGCAUGAAAGCGUGGGUAGCAAACAGGAUUAGAUACCCUGGUAGUCCACGCCGUAAACGAUGAGUACUAGGUGUAGGAGGUAUCGACCCCUUCUGUGCCGCAGUUAACACAAUAAGUACUCCGCCUGGGAAGUACGAUCGCAAGAUUAAAAAC
rnacentral:rRNA from 1 species